ACGAACGCUGGCGGCGUGCUUAACACAUGCAAGUCGAACGGGGCAAAGUGAUAGCUUGCUAUUAUGGAGCCUAGUGGCAAACGGGUGAGUAACGCGUAGGCAACCUGCCCUUCAGAUGGGGACAACACCUCGAAAGGGGUGCUAAUACCGAAUGACGUUGCGCUGUCGCAUGACGGUGCAACCAAAGGCCGGGCAACCGGUCACUGAAGGAUGGGCCUGCGUCUGAUUAGCUAGUUGGUGGGGUAACGGCCCACCAAGGCGACGAUCAGUAGCCGGUCUGAGAGGAUGAACGGCCACAUUGGGACUGAGACACGGCCCAGACUCCUACGGGAGGCAGCAGUGGGGAAUCUUCCGCAAUGGACGAAAGUCUGACGGAGCAACGCCGCGUGAGUGAAGAAGGUUUUCGGAUCGUAAAGCUCUGUUGAGAGGGACGAGAGGCAAGGCUAGGAAAUGAUCUGUAAUGACGGUAGUAAACGAAUAAGCCACGGCUAACUACGUG
rnacentral:rRNA from 1 species